rnacentral:rRNA from 1 species
GACGGAGGAUGCAAGUGUUAUCCGGAAUCACUGGGCGUAAAGCGUCUGUAGGUCGUUCAAUAAGUCAACUGUUAAAUCUUGAGGCUCAACUUCAAAAUCGCAGUCGAAACUAUUAAACUAGAGUAUAGUAGGGGUAAAGGGAAUUUCCAGUGGAGCGGUGAAAUGCGUAGAGAUUGGAAAGAACACCAAUGGCGAAAGCACUUUACUGGGCUAUUACUGACACUGAGGAGAACGAAAGCAGGGUAGCAAAUGGG